rnacentral:rRNA from 1 species
CCCUUAAAUGUCCGGGGCAGCACGCGCGCUACAAUGGUCUUCGCAAACGGAUGCAUUCUCGAAGGAGAAUGCCAAUCUUGGAAUCUAUGCCUUGGUCGGGACAGUUGCUUGCAAUUUUUCGACUCGAACCAGGAAUUCCUUGUAAUCGUGAUUCAUCACAUCACGAUGAAUACGUCCCUGCCCUUUGUACACACCGCCCGUCGCUCCUACCGAUCGAAGAGUUAGGUGAAUUGUUUUGAUCGAUAAGAUUUGACUAUGGUCAACUCUCGUUGUGAAAUUCUGUGAAUCUGACUGUUUAGAGGAAGGAAAAGUCGUAACA